rnacentral:SRP_RNA from 1 species
UACAAGCCGGGGAAUUAGCGGAGCCCUGUACCUGAAAUCCGCUACAGCAGGGGUGUAUUCCUCUUUUGAGGGCUUAGCUGAAGCGGUCUUGAGCCGUAUCCUGCUGCGUUGAGGAGUGGGUCUUGCGCAAUUGAGAGCUGUGAACCAUGUCAGGUGGGGAACCAAGCAGCAUUAAGCAGUUGCCCCAAUGUGCCGUGAGGUAGCCUGCUCGGAGCAGGAGGUACGGAGUUCGCGCGGAUGUGAGGUUCG